UAGCUCAGUAACACGUGGCCAAACUACCCUACAGACCGCAAUAACCUCGGGAAACUGAGGCCAAUAGCGGAUAUCACUCUCAGACUGGAGUGUCGAGAGUGAGAAACGUUCCGGCGCUGUAGGAUGUGGCUGCGGCCGAUUAGGUAGAUGGUGGGGUAACGGCCCACCAUGCCGAUAAUCGGUACAGGUUGUGAGAGCAAGAGCCUGGAGACGGUAUCUGAGACAAGAUACCGGGCCCUACGGGGCGCAGCAGGCGCGAAACCUUUACACUGCACGACAGUGCGAUAGGGGGACUCCGAGUGUGAGGGCAUAUAGCCCUCGCUUUUCUGAACCGUAAGGUGGUUCAGGAACAAGGACUGGGCAAGACCGGUGCCAGCCGCCGCGGUAAUACCGGCAGUCCAAGUGAUGGCCGAUAUUAUUGGGCCUAAAGCGUCCGUAGCUUGCUGUGUAAGUCCAUUGGGAAAUCGACCAGCU
rnacentral:rRNA from 1 species